GCGGGUUGGAGGCCCGCCCCCUCCUCCCCUGGGUCGGACGCUGAGCCGAGCCGCGGGCGGGAGGCCGGACGGACCGACUGACGGGAGGGACGGGAGCCGAGCAAAAUGGCGCAGACUCAGGGCACCCGGAGGAAAGUCUGUUACUACUACGACGGGGAUGUUGGAAAUUACUAUUAUGGACAAGGCCACCCAAUGAAGCCUCACCGAAUCCGCAUGACUCACAAUUUGCUACUUAACUAUGGUCUCUAUCGAAAAAUGGAAAUAUAUCGCCCUCACAAGGCCAAUGCUGAGGAGAUGACCAAGUACCACAGUGACGACUACAUUAAAUUCUUGCGCUCCAUCCGCCCAGAUAACAUGUCUGAGUACAGCAAACAGAUGCAGAGAUUCAACGUUGGUGAGGACUGUCCGGUAUUUGAUGGCCUGUUUGAGUUCUGUCAGUUAUCUACUGGUGGCUCUGUGGCAAGUGCUGUGAAACUUAAUAAGCAGCAGACGGACAUCGCUGUGAAUUGGGCUGGGGGCCUGCAUCAUGCAAAGAAGUCUGAGGCAUCUGGCUUCUGUUACGUCAAUGAUAUCGUCUUGGCCAUCCUGGAACUGCUAAAGUAUCACCAGAGGGUGCUGUAUAUUGACAUUGAUAUUCACCACGGCGAUGGCGUGGAAGAGGCCUUCUAUACCACAGACCGGGUCAUGACUGUGUCCUUUCAUAAAUACGGAGAGUACUUCCCGGGAACUGGGGACCUACGGGAUAUUGGGGCUGGCAAAGGCAAGUAUUACGCUGUUAACUACCCGCUCCGAGAUGGGAUCGAUGACGAGUCCUAUGAGGCCAUUUUCAAGCCGGUCAUGUCCAAAGUAAUGGAGAUGUUCCAACCCAGUGCAGUUGUCUUACAGUGUGGCUCUGACUCCCUAUCUGGGGAUCGGUUAGGUUGCUUCAACCUGACCAUCAAAGGGCACGCCAAGUGUGUAGAGUUUGUGAAGAGCUUCAACCUGCCUAUGCUGAUGCUGGGAGGAGGCGGUUAUACCAUCCGUAACGUGGCCCGCUGCUGGACGUAUGAAACAGCCGUGGCUCUGGACACGGAGAUCCCAAAUGAGCUUCCAUACAACGACUACUUUGAAUACUUUGGACCAGAUUUCAAACUUCACAUCAGUCCUUCCAAUAUGACCAACCAGAACACCAAUGAGUACCUGGAGAAGAUCAAACAGCGACUGUUUGAGAACCUGCGAAUGCUGCCCCACGCACCUGGGGUCCAAAUGCAGGUGAUUCCUGAGGAUGCCAUUCCAGAGGAGAGUGGCGACGAGGACGAAGAAGACCCUGACAAGCGCAUCUCGAUCUGUUCCUCUGACAAACGAAUCGCCUGUGAGGAAGAGUUCUCGGACUCUGAUGAAGAGGGAGAAGGCGGUCGCAAGAACUCUUCCAACUUCAAAAAAGCCAAGAGAGUCAAAACUGAGGAUGAAAAAGAGAAAGAUCCAGAAGAUAAGAAAGAAGUCACAGAAGAGGAGAAAACCAAGGAGGAGAAGCAAGAAGCCAAAGGGUGAGGAAGGAGCUGUCAGCCAUCUCCCUGGCAUUGGAGCACCAGUCCUUUUGUCCGCUAUGCCGAGGGAAGGCGCAGGGACAGCUGGGUCAAGGAGGAGGUCAAGUUGGCCUGAGCAGACCUCUCCAGUUGUGGCUUCCUGCCAAGUUUCCCACCUUUCUCCCACAACCCCUCAGAUUUUAUAUUUUCUAUCUCUCUGUGUAUUUAUAUAAAAAUAUAUUAAAUAUAAAUAUCCCCAGGGACUAGACAGGAACCAGGGCCCUGAGCCCAGGGCACGUGUUAGGAGUGAGCUUUUCUAGUGGCUGCCUUGCCACCCAUCCUUUCCCACUUCCUAAUUUUGAACCAUAAAGGGUGCUGGGUCUGGAAAGCAUAUUCUUAAGAAGCCAUAGGACAAAAUCCUGAAAUGUUAAGUGCCUGCUUAGUGGCUUUGGAAAGGUGUCCUUACUGGGCAUUCUAGGAGUGGCUAGAUCUUGAGGGACCCCCUGUCAGGCUCCUUAAGGUAAUAUCAGCCAUUUUUAGAUUGGUUCUGUUAUCAUACCUUCCCACUAGCCCCCUGUGAGCCAAGAAACUCACACUGCCUGCCCUCUAUCCUCGCCCAGUUCUGCAGGUGGAGAUUGGUAGUCUAGUUUCCUUUUUGAGAUACUAUUUUAAUUUUUGUGAGAAUCUUUGUAAUAAAAUGGUACAUUUCUACAUCCUCCUGA